AACGCAUCUUGCGCUCCUUGGUAUUCCGAGGAGCAUGCCUGUUUGAGUGUCAUUUUGAACUCUCAAAGCCCACAUUUUCGAUGUGGCUUUGGACUUGGGGGCUUUUGCAGGCUUUCAACAGAAAGGCCUGCUCCCUUGAAAUUCAUUAGUGGUAUCUGGAGCGGAAACCGCUAGGUGUUGAUAACAUUCAUCUAUGCCUUUGGGUAUGCCGCGCAAAAUGUGCUGCUUCCAACGCCCCACGCUCUCUUGACAAACUUGACCUCAAAUCAGGUAGGACUACCCGCUGAACUUAA
rnacentral:misc_RNA from 3 species